rnacentral:rRNA from 1 species
UACGGAGGAUGCAAGCGUUAUCCGGAUUCAUUGGGUUUAAAGGGUGCGUAGGCGGACUAUUAAGUCAGUGGUGAAAGCCUGCAGCUUAACUGCAGAACUGCCAUUGAUACUGAUAGUCUUGAGUUUGGUUAAGGUAGGCGGAAUGUGUAAUGUAGCGGUGAAAUGCUUAGAUAUCACGAGGAACUCCGAUUGCGCAGGCAGCUUACUAAACCACUACUGACGCUCAGGCACGAAGGCGUGGGGAUCAAACAGGAUUA